rnacentral:misc_RNA from 1 species
UAAUAAGUGUUUUAUGGCACUUUUUAAAUCCAUAUCCACCUUGUGUGCAAUGUCAGUCGAUCUUCUUCAUGGAGAUCGACCAAACAUCUACCUUUAUCUUUUAACUCUUUGUCUGAAAAAUAUUAUGAAUAAACAAUUCAAAAUA